AGUGGAAAGGCUUUCAAUUUUCCCCAUUCAUUAUGUUAGCUGUGGGUUUGUCAUACAUGGCUUUCAUCAUAUUAAGGUAGCCAUUCAUCUGCCGAAUGGAAGUGUUGAGGUCAUCUCCAGCUCUAAGGUUUUGUGAUUCCAAUAGGAAAAUAUGUUAUUCUUGUUUAGAGACCUGGACACCAUCUGUGAUUUUUGGAUGAAGACCUAGAUGAGUUCAAAGGCCUGAAGAACCAGGGGCGCCACUGUGUAAAUCUGUUACCAAACCAAACUGGGAUCUGCUCACCCGGUGCUGUAAGGCCCAACAUCUACAUGAAAGUUUGCAGAGGGAGAAAGGAGGGGCCCAAGCGUGAAGAAUUGGGCAGCUUAUGCUUGAGACAUGACCCCCCUGAUGGCUUACCUCCAUUUCCUGAGCCAUGAAUUGAUGCUAAGGAUACCGAUUCACAGUGGAGUUGAGAGGAUUAAUGAGACCAUAAGACCCACAAUGCAGUGUGCGCUCUGCUAGUCUCUGAGAAGAUAUGUUUCUGCCCUAAGAAAUCUUGCAGAAAAGAAAACCACCCCAGGUUUUCCAGCUGGUGCUAGGUUGUUCAUCAGAGGCCAUGUAAGAAGACACCAUGAGUUACUCAUUUCCUAGUUUAUGCGUUCAUUAUUAUUCAUUUAUUUGUAUCAUUUA
rnacentral:lncRNA from 1 species